UUUUUAUUCAUAAGGCAUCUCGGUAAUUCAGUUUAGUGAAGUUUAUUCAAUGAUAGGAAAGUGCCUUAUAUUUUAAAGUAUAUCGAUGUGAAAUUACAUGGUAAUAUGUAGUAUCUUUGACGAGAUUCCUGAAGGAGCAGUCCCAGUCCUAAACCUAGAUUGAGACGGACACACUGCGACACGAAACCAUACUAUACGAAGUAAUGAAUAUAAAAGUAGCAGUAA
rfam:Staphylococcus capitis strain CR03 genome assembly, contig: BN1517_Contig_4